rnacentral:lncRNA from 1 species
CUUGACGUAAUCCCCAACGCCAGCGCUUCCAGAAUCCUUGCCAUCACCACCGCUUGCAUGCGGCUCUGACUUUGCAGGCUCAGGGUUGGUCGGGGUGUCAGACUUUUUGGUGCCCGGGGUCGCUCCGGAAGACUCGUAUUGGUGCAGGUAAUUCUCUGCCUUAUCAACAUAUUGUCCAAUUCCCUUCUCCUGAUCCAGUUUGCCAUAGCCUUUGGCAGCACCUAGAAGAUCAGCAGCUGCACCAGCAACCUUCCCCUUGUCAACCUUAUCGCUUUCAUUGCUGAAUGUGGAUUUUGCUGCCCCGGCUACCACCUUAGCACUAGAGAACAGUUCAGAGGAAGUUGGGGUACGGUCUUUCUCUGACGCCAUUGUUAAGUCUGGGAGAGCUCUAGCAAAAAGUUUAUCA